CCUACGGGUGGCUGCAGUGAGGAAUAUUGGUCAAUGGGCUAGCGCCUGAACCAGCCAAGUCGCGUGAGGGAAUACUGCCCUAUGGGUUGUAAACCUCUUUUGUCGGGGAGCAAAUGCCGCACGUGUUCGCCUUUGCGAGUACACGUAGAAAAAACAUCGGCUAACACCGUGCCAGCAGCCGCGGUAUUACGGAGGAUGCGAGCGUUAUCCGGAUUUAUAGGGUUUAAAGGGUGCGCAGGCGGAAUUUUAAGUCAGCGGUAAAAUCGCGGGGCUCAACCCCGUCCAGCCGUUGAAACUGGGGAUCUUGAGUGUGCGAGAAGUAUGCGGAAUGCGUGGUGUAGCGGUGAAAUGCAUAGAUAUCACGCAGAACCCCGAUUGCGAAGGCAGCAUACCGGUGCACAACUGACGCUGAGGCACGAAAGCGUGGGUAUCGAACAGGAUUAGAUACCCCUGUAGUC
rnacentral:rRNA from 1 species